rnacentral:rRNA from 1 species
GACAGAGGGUGCAAACGUUGUUCGGAAUUACUGGGCGUAAAGCGCGUGUAGGCUGCUUCGCAAGUCGGGUGUGAAAGCCCUGGGCUCAACCUAGGAAGUGCACUCGAAACUGCGAAGCUUGAGUCCUGGAGAGGAAGGCGGAAUUCUCGGUGUAGAGGUGAAAUUCGUAGAUAUCGGGAGGAACACCAGUGGCGAAGGCGGCGACCUGGGCCAAUAUUGACGCUGAGGUGCGAAAGCGUGGGGAGCAAACAGG